rnacentral:rRNA from 1 species
AACGAACGCUGGCGGCGCGUCUUAAACAUGCAAGUCGAACGGCAGGAAGGGGCUUGCCCCUUCUGAGAGUGGCGGACUGGUGAGUAACACGUGGGUGACAUACCUUUUAGUUGGGGAUAGCUAUUAGAAAUAGUAGGUAAUACCGAAUGUGACCGUACCUGUUAGAGGGGUACGAGGAAAGGAGCUAAGGCUUCGCUAAAAGAAUGGCUCGCGGCCCAUUAUGCUCGUUGGUGAGGUAACGGCCCACCAAGGCGAUGAUGGGUAUCCGGCCUGAGAGGGUGAACGGACACAUUGGGACUGAGAUACGGCCCAGACUUCUACGGGAGGCAGCAGUUAAGAAUAUUCCGCAAUGGACGAAAGUCUGACGGAGCGACGCCGCGUGGAUGAAGAAUGCCGAAAGGUUGUAAAAUCCUUUUAAGCCUGAUGAAUAAGCACAGUAGGGAAUGAUGGUGCGGUGACCGUAGGGCUUGAAUAAGCACCGGCUAAUUACGUG